GGAUGAAGAACGUAGCGAAAUGCGAUAAGUAAUGUGAAUUGCAGAGUUCAGUGAAUCAUCGAAUCUUUGAACGCACAUUGCGCCCGUUAGUAUUCUGACGGGCAUGCCUGUCCGAGCGUCAUUUCAACCCUUAAGCACUGCUUAGCGUUGGCGGAUUACAGCACCUCCGUGCGCUGUAACCGCCCAAAUCCAGUGGCGGUCCCGCUGUGGUUCCCUUGCGUAGUAACUCACCUCGCACUGGACCAGGCGGCGGCUCGCCGUAAAACCCCCACUAUAAAAGGUUGACCUCGGAUCAGGUAGGAAUACCCGCUGAACUUAAGCAUAUCAAUAAGCGGAGGA
rnacentral:misc_RNA from 1 species